rnacentral:lncRNA from 1 species
UCUUUCAGUUUUAUAAAAUAUCAAUCGGAGAGUCGAGGUUAUCUUUCAGUUCUAUAAAAUACCGAUCUGAAGGUCUAGAUUAUUAUUCAGUUCUAUCAAAUAUCGAUCUGAAGGUCGAGGUUAUCUUUCAGUUCUAUGAAAUACCAAUCUAAAAAUCAAGAUUAUCAUUCAGUUUUAUCAAAUACUGACUUAAAAGUUGAGGUUAUCAUUUAAUUCUAUCUAUUCUUAAUGAAUCUAUUCCUAAAGAGCCUAUUUCUCAAGACCUAGAUCUUCCAAUUACCUUAAAAAAGUCACCAAAAAGUGCACUCAAUAUCUACUCUAUCCAAUUUUGCAAUUUGUCUCCCUUCAUCAUUUUUUUUUAUAACAUAAAAGUUUUCUCACUACCUUAGACUCAAUUGAUAUCUCUAAAACCAUACAAAAAGAAUUAACGGACAAGAAGUGGGUA